GCCUCGCUCCCGCCCCUUCUUCCGCCGGGCGAGCCCCCGCCUGCGUCGAGCCCCGGCGCGGCCGCGCGCGCGGUUGGACAGCGCCGCCACCCGUUUGGCGCCAAGAACUGCCCCGCGCGGGCGCCUCCGGGAGGCCGGCGGCCGAGCGGGCGCGCGGAGGAGGAGGAGGAGGAGCCCCGGUGGCGGGAAGCGGACCCCGGGAGGCGCCGGUUGGCGACUCUGCUCCUUGCCCCCGCGGAGUCCCGGGAUCUUGAAGGCUUGUCUUGUGGUGGGGGAGAUGUGACCGGACUGGUUGAGAAAUGGUUAAUUCCUCGGAGAAAACUGCAGGUUCUCCCCUCCGAACGGAGCUCUAGACGCCAAGGCAAAGUUUUACAACUUGGCACGACGCGGGCUGCUUGUUCUUGCGUCUUCCGAGAGUCGCCCGAGGUCGCAGCCUACGACCUUAGUUAGACUCCCACCAUUAAGAUGUUUCAAAGCUGCAAAAUAAAAUAGGAAGUUGGCGUUCGAUCUCAAGCUAUGGCUUCUGGCCUCCCGAUCAUUUUGGGGAAAGGAUUGCCAAAGAAAACUCAGUGCAGCAGUGUUUGAGCAGUUUAAGCUUGUCAAGUGGUCAUAAGCAAAGAGAUGAGAAGAAAUUGGCGAUAUCCUGACGACAGAAGAUUGUUCUUGCCCCAGGAAAUCAGCAUGAAGUAGGAAGGGAUUAGGGAGGAGUAAGGGUUGGGAGAGAGGUACAUAUGUAGGACCUGUGAUGGUUUGUAUAUGAUCGACCCAGGAAUAGCGCUAUUAGAUGUGGCCCUGUUGAAGUAGGCAUGUCACUGUGGAUGUAGGCUUUAAAACACUUAUCCUAGCCGCUUGGAAGUCAAUCUUCCUUCAAUGAAGAUAUUGAAUCCUCAGCUCAGCCUGCAUCCUGCCUGCCUGCCUGAAUGUUGUCAUACUCCUGGUUGAUAAUGGACUGAACCUCUGAACCUGUAAGCCAAGGGCCAGCCUCUCAAGUCUUCACUUGUAUUACUGAUAUAAAGUCUUUCACUGAA